UACAGAGGGUGCGAGCGUUGUUCGGAAUCACUGGGCGUAAAGGGCGCGUAGGCGGCUUGAUAAGCGUGCGGUGAAAGCCCGGGGCUCAACCCCGGGUCGGCCGUGCGAACUGUCGAGCUGGAGUACUGUAGAGGCAGGUGGAAUUCCGGGUGUAGCGGUGGAAUGCGUAGAGAUCCGGAAGAACACCGGUGGCGAAGGCGGCCUGCUGGGCAGUGGCUGACGCUGAGGCGCGACAGCGUGGGGAGCAAACAGG
rnacentral:rRNA from 1 species